AUUAGCUGGUGAAUGCUUCCUCAAGGCUCCAAACAUGGGUCCAGUUGGGAAAACCCUGAAGACUGUCUUCACCCACCUUCCAUCCUGGGGUGGGGACAAGAGCAGCCAGCGGAUGCCAGAGUCGAGAAUCAGAGCCCCUGGAAGGGAAGUUGCCCGCUGUUGUGAGCUGCCCAGAGGAUACUGGGAAGCAGCUCUUCUGCAGUAGCAUACUGGAGACAGAACUUAGAGCUCAUUGCAUGCUGUGCAAGCACUCUAUCACUGUGCUAUCCUAGAAGGAUUUCAGAAGUGUUGUUGCGAUUCCUCGCCCACUCCUCCUAUAGUUCCCACCCAUUUGCUUACAAAACACCGUGCUCUCCCGUGUGUCAGGGGGACUCCUCCGGUACCGGUACCGACAACCUAGAGGAUGGAGCUCCGCAAAGUGAGCCUGUUCCCACCGCCUAGAUGUGUCCUCAGCAGGCAGAGGCCUGAAACCAGGAGGGCAGGAGGGUGGGAUGUGGGCAGAAAAUAUGGUUUGGGUUGUGGAUGCCCUUGGCACAGAGCCCCAGAACUCGGUGUCCAUACGUCUGGGGCAUGUCCUCCACAGCAGCUAAGGCUGGAACCCUGCUUGCCUGGAGCACUCUUCUUCUUAGAAAAGACUUAAUGGGAAUCUCUCAUAAUCACUCCAGUGUGGUUUAUGGUUUUGCCUUGGGUGUUACUACUGCGUGGGAGGGGAGCUCUCCCAGCCCCACAGAUGCCGGGGGAAGCUGCCACUGAACCUCCUGAUGCCUCUCUGAGCACCCCUCCCCCACCCCACCCACCACGAUGGUCUUUGUGUGCUAU
rnacentral:lncRNA from 1 species